rnacentral:rRNA from 1 species
AAACGUAGGGGGCGAGCGUUGUCCGGAAUUACUGGGCGUAAAGGGCGUGUAGGCGGUUUAAUAAGUCUCGAGGUGAAAACUAUCGGCUCAACCGGUAGCGUGCCUGAGAAACUGUUAGACUUGAGGGCAGGAGAGGGGAGUGGAAUUCCCAGUGUAGCGGUGAAAUGCGUAGAUAUUGGGAGGAACACCAGUGGCGAAGGCGGCUCUCUGGCCUGUUACUGACGCUGAGGCGCGAAAGCGUGGGUAGCGAACGGGAUUAGAUACCCCGGUAGUCCACGCCGUAAACGAUGGGUGCUAGGUGUAGGAGGUAUCGACCCCUUCUGUGCCGUAGUAAACACAAUAAGCACCCCGCCUGGGGAGUACGGCCGCAAGGUUGAA